rnacentral:rRNA from 1 species
ACCGUGUGCCUACAACAAGUUCGAGCCCGUUAAUGGGUGAGAGCGUGCCUUUUGUAGAAUGAACCGGCGAGUUACGAUAUGAUGCGAGGUUAAGUUGAAGAGACGGAGCCGUAGGGAAACCGAGUCUUAAUAGGGCGCAUUAGUAUCAUGUCGUAGACCCGAAACCAUGUGACCUACCCAUGAGCAGGUUGAAGGUGAGGUAAAACUCACUGGAGGACCGAACCAGGGCACGUUGAAAAGUGCUUGGAUGACUUGUGGGUAGCGGAGAAAUUCCAAACGAACUUGGAGAUAGCUGGUUCUCUCCGAAAUAGCUUUAGGGCUAGCGUCGAUGUUAAGUCUCUUGGAGGUAGAGCACUGUUUGGGUGAGGGGUCCAUCCCGGAUUACCAAUCUCAGAUAAACUCCGAAUGCCAAUGAGAUAUAAUCGGCAGUCAGACUGCGAGUGCUAAGAUCCGUAGUCGAAAGGGAAACAGCCCAGACCACCAGCUAAGGUCCCAAAAUAUAUGUUAAGUGGAAAAGGAUGUGGGGUUGCACAGACAACUAGGAUGUUAGCUUAGAAGCAGCUAUUCAUUCAAAGAGUGCGUAAUAGCUCACUAGUCGAGUGACCCUGCGCCGAAAAUGUACCGGGGCUAAAACAUAUUACCGAAGCUGUGGAUACCUUUAUAGGUAUGGUAGGAGAGCGUUCUAUGUGCGAAGAAGGUGUACCGUGAGGAGUGCUGGAGCGCAUAGAAGUGAGAAUGCCGGUAUGAG